AUUUAAGUUGUUGCAGUUAAAAAGCUCGUAGUUGGAUUUUGGGUGGGAGGGGUUGGUCCGCUCUUGCGGGCGUGUACCGGCCCUUUCGCCUUUCUUGCCGGGUAUGCGUUCCUUGCCUUUAUUGGCAAGGAUCCAGAGCCGGCGCUGUUACUUUGAAAAAAUUAGAGUGUUCAAGGCAGGCCUGUGCUCUGAACAUAUAGGGAUGAAAUAACGUGAUAGGACUCUGGUCCUAUUUCGUAGGUCUUCAUGAUUGGAGUAAUGAUUAAUGGAGACGGUUGGGGGCAUUCGUAUUCCAUUGUGAGAGGUGAAAUUCUUGGAUUUAUGGAUGACGAACUUCUGCGAAAGCAUUUGCCAAGGACGUUCUCAUUAAUCAAGAACGAAAGUUGGGGGAUCGAAGACGAUCAGAUACCGUCCUAGUCUCAACCAUAAACGAUGCCGACUAGGGAUUGGCGGAUGUCUAUUGGAUGAAGAGGCCAGCACCUUGCGAGAAAUCAAAGUUUACGGGUUCCGGGGGGAGUAUGGUCGCAAGGMUGAAACUUAAAGGAAUUGACGGAAGGGCACCACCAGGCAUGGAGCCUGCGGCUCAAUUUGACUCAACGCGGGGAAACUCACCAGGUCCAGACAUAGGAAGGAUUGAUAGAUUGAGAGCGCUUUCUUGAUUCUAUGGGUGGUGGUGCAUGGCUGUGCUUAGUUGGUGGAGUGAUUUGUCYGGUUAAUUCCGUUAACGAACGAGACCUCAGCCUGCUAAAUAGCUACGCGGGGACCUUUCCUCGUGGCCAGCUUCUUAGAGGGACUAUUGGACGACUAGCCAACGGAAUUUUGAGGCAAUAACAGGUCUGUGAUGCCCUUAGAUGUUCURGGCCGCACGCGCGCUACACUGAUGAAUCCAACGAGUCGCUUGCCAGGGUGGAAAGGCCCGGGUAACCUUCUUAAGGUUCAUCGUGACGGGGAUAGAUUGUUGUAAUUAUCGAUCUUGAACGAGGAAUGCCUAGUAAGCGCGAGUCAUCAGCUCGCGCUGAUUACGUCCCUGCCCUUUGUACACACCGCCCGUCGCUCCUACCGAUUGAAUGGUCUGGUGAAGUGUCUGGAUUGCGGUGAUCUCGGUGGUUUGCCGCUGGGGUCGCUGUGAGAAGUUCAUUGAACCUUAUCAUUUAGAGGAAGGAAAAGUCGUAACAAGGUUUCCGUAGGUGAACCUGCGGAAG
rnacentral:rRNA from 1 species